rnacentral:rRNA from 1 species
GAUGAACGCUAGCGGCAGGCCUAAUACAUGCAAGUCGGACGGGAUUGGAGAGCUUGCUUUCCAUGAGAGUGGCGCACGGGUGCGUAACACGUAUGUAACCUACCCUUGUCAGGGGGAUAGCCUCUCGAAAGAGAGAUUAAGACCGCAUAAAAUCACAUUGCAGCAUUGCAAAAUGAUCAAAUAUUUAUAGGACAGGAUGGGC